GACGAACGCUGGCGGCGUGCUUAACACAUGCAAGUCGAACGGAAAGGCCCUGCUUUUGUGGGGUGCUCGAGUGGCGAACGGGUGAGUAACACGUGAGUAACCUGCCCUUGACUUUGGGAUAACUUCAGGAAACUGGGGCUAAUACCGGAUAGGAGCUCCUGCUGCAUGGUGGGGGUUGGAAAGUUUCGGCGGUUGGGGAUGGACUCGCGGCUUAUCAGCUUGUUGGUGGGGUAGUGGCUUACCAAGGCUUUGACGGGUAGCCGGCCUGAGAGGGUGUCCGGCCACAUGGGGACUGAGAGACGGCCCAGACUCCUACGGGAGGCAGCAGUGGGGAAUAUUGCACAAUGGGCGGAAGCCUGAUGCAGCAACGCCGCGUGCGGGAGGACGGCCUUCGGGUUGUAAACCGCUUUCGCCUGUGACGAAGCGUGAGUGACGGUAAUGGGUAAAGAAGCACCGGCUAACUACGU
rnacentral:rRNA from 1 species